rnacentral:misc_RNA from 1 species
GAUGAAGAACGUAGUGAAAUGCGAUAAGUAGUGUGAAUUGCAGAAUUCAGUGAAUCAUCGAAUCUUUGAACGCACAUUGCGCCCCUUGGUAUUCCAUGGGGCAUGCCUGUUCGAGCGUCAUUUGUACCUUCAAGCUUUGCUUGGUGUUGGGUGUUUGUCCCUCGGGACUCGCCUUAAAGUCAUUGGCAGCCAGUGUUUUGGUUUUGAAGCGCAGCACAAGUCGCGAUUCAAGGCUAUCCGCCCGCUUCCACAAGCCUUUUUCACUUUUGACCUCGGAUCAGGUAGGGAUACCCGCUGAACUUAAGCAUAUCAAUAAGCGGAGGA